ACGAUCGUUGCGCAGGCGCAGAUCCGGAAGCCAGCCAACGUUGGGCAGAGCCGAACGCAGGCGGGCAGCUGGCAACAAAUUCGGCGUCGGAAAUUCAGCCGCCACACGUCCAGACACUGCCUAGGAAGAGAGCCCGCGCUCGGCUUCAGGGCAGAUCUGAGCCUCAGGCUGAAUGAGGUCGAGUUGAAGAGAGAUCUAAUCCUCUGAAGAGGAGAAACAAAGCAGAGUAUGCAUGAAUGAUAUAGGAGAUUAUCUGAAGGAAAAAUGGAAGAAAACCAAGUCAUCACCCCCAUUCAUCUCUGAGAAAAGAAAACUCGCCCCUUUCCCUGUCUUCAAGAAAAUAAGCAAUGGGUAAGCAAUAAAAUCACAAUUGGAGCCAUCUGGUGGUACUCAGUGUUUGUCUCUGCUCUUGUAACAACCUGAAACAAGUCACAGAACUUAUGCAAUGACGGGUCACUUGGACACGUGUCAUUUUCCCCCCAGUACUGAGGA